AUACGGAGGGUGCAAGCGUUGUCCGGAAUCACUGGGCGUAAAGCGCACGUAGGCGGUCUUGUAAGUCAUCUGUGAAAUCCCGGAGCUCAACUCCGGGCCUGCAGUUGAUACUGCAUGACUAGAGCUCGGUAGAGGCGAGUGGAAUUCCCGGUGUAGCGGUGGAAUGCGUAGAUAUCGGGAGGAACACCAGUGGCGAAGGCGGCUCGCUGGGCCGUUGCUGACGCUGAGGUGCGAAAGCGUGGGGAGCAAACAGGAUUAGAAACCCCUGUAGUCC
rnacentral:rRNA from 1 species